GAUCAUGGCUCAGAACGAACGCUGGCGGCAGGCUUAACACAUGCAAGUUGAACGGGAUUUGUGUGGUGCUUGCACCAUAUAAUGAGAGUAGCGCACUGGUGAGUAACACGUGGGAACGUACCUUUUGGUGGGGGACAACAUCUAGGAAACGGAUGCUAAUACCGCAUAACGACCUGGAGGGUAGAAAGUAUUUAUCGACCGAAAGACGGCCCGCGGAAGAUUAGGCAGUUGGGUAGGGGUAAACGGCCUAACCAAACCUACG
rnacentral:rRNA from 1 species